UUUUCAUUAGGAUCUCACACUCAGCUAAGCAUACUAGGAACAUCUUAGACCUGCUCCCUGGGCUAAGAAUACCACAGUCCUCUCUGACUCAAGUUGAGCCAAGUCACUCUCCUGCUUCAUUUUCAUUUGCCCAAGGAAAAGUGCAAGGCUCUUCUGGAAAUAGUCUGAGCUGCUUUACGUCACUUGUUAACAUCAGGGAAAAAAAAAGAAAACAAGGUAAAAUUUGGAUUGGAAGACUCAGCUAAACA